UAAGAAGGGGGCUAGCGUUGUUCGGAAUUACUGGGCGUAAAGCGCACGUAGGCGGAUUUGUAAGUCAGGGGUGAAAUCCCGGGGCUCAACCCCGGAACUGCCUUUGAUACUGCAAGUCUCGAGUCCGAGAGAGGUGAGUGGAAUUCCUAGUGUAGAGGUGAAAUUCGUAGAUAUUAGGAAGAACACCAGUGGCGAAGGCGGCUCACUGGCUCGGUACUGACGCUGAGGUGCGAAAGCGUGGGGAGCAAACAGG
rnacentral:rRNA from 1 species